rnacentral:rRNA from 1 species
ACUCAAAGGAAUAGACGGGACCCCGCACAAGCGGUGGAGCAUGUGGAUUAAUUCGAUAAUAACCGAAGAACCUUACCCAGACUUGACAUCGAGUGUAAGACUUGGAAAUAGGUCCCUCAACCCACAAGGUUGACACGAAGACACCUGUUGCAUGGCUGUCGUCAGCUCGUGCCGUGAGGUGUUUGGUUAAGUCCAGCAACGAGCGCAACCCUCAUCUUGUGUUGCCAACGGAUAAUGCCGGGAACUCACAAGAAACUGCCCGUGUAAACGGGAGGAAGGUGAGGAUGACGUCAAGUCAGCAUGGCGGUUACGUCUGGGGCUUCACACAUGCUACAAUGGGCGCAACAAAGGGCAGCAAUAUCGCGAGAUGGAGCUAAUCCCAAAAAUACGCCCUCAGUUCAGAUUGCAGUCUGCAACUCGACUGCAUGAAGGCGGAAUCGCUAGUAACCGCAAGUCAGCUAUAUUGCGGUGAAUACGUUCCCGGGGUUUGCACACACCGCCCGU